GCAUGGUAAAAGAUUAAAGUCAGAGGCAGCAACUGAAAUUUCACAGUAUCUCUGAAGCCGAUGGCCGAUGGAAGGGUGCUGGGAGAAACCAGGUCCAACCCUCUCCUUUAACCAACAGCCUUCCUGCAUAGCCUUAGGGUCUCUGACCCUCCCGCAUUGCUUACCUGCCCGCCGACCAGGUACUGGAGGCCAGGAGGCGCUGCAACCGCCGCCGGACCGCCCACAACGACCGCGCAGCCAUGUUCCAGACUUGGGAGGACCGAUGUGGCGCAAGCGCACUCACUCCAAGUGAAGCGCGCUCUCCCUUAAAAGCCACGCCUCCCGGCAGCCUUUGAGAGCGGUUCCACUAGGGGACUUCCGGACGGGAACGCUGCACUUCCGAUCGUCAGGUGCUCCGCACAGUUCUUCCGGGCAGGACACUGCUGGUUUAGAGUGGCGGGAACUGGUCUUAACGACGAAGCUUGAUGCUAGGCACAGGUUCGUGGCGGACAAAGCGGAAUACGCCCUGCGCACAUAGAGUGUAUGUGAAGUUAUAAAUGAUAAAAGCUCGGUAUGAUAUCAAAAUGUAUCUGGUGUUUAAAAAAGAGGGUCACAGUGCUGCGAAAGCAGGCUGGACAGGACCAGAUCACGUGAAAGAUGAAAAUAAUUACAGCUUUCCUAUUUUUCUUUGCUUUUCACUCCAGUGUAUUUGCCGACUUAAUUAAAAAAAACACGGUGUGCAGUA